rnacentral:rRNA from 1 species
AUUGAACGCUGGCGGCAGGCCUAACACAUGCAAGUCGAGCGGGGUUUUCGGACCUAGCGGCGGACGGGUGAGUAAUGCGUAGGAAGCUGCCCGAUAGAGGGGGAUACCAGUUGGAAACGACUGAUAAUACUGCAUAAUGUCUACGGACCAAAGUGUGGGACCUUCGGGCCACAUGCUAUCGGAUGCGCCUACGUGGGAUUAGCUAGUUGGUGAGGUAAUGGCUCAACAAGGCGACGAUCUCUAGCUGGUUUGAGAGGAUGAUCAGCCACACUGGAACUGAGACACGGUCCAGACUCCUACGGGAGGCAGCAGUGGGGAAUAUUGGACAAUGGGCGCAAGCCUGAUCCAGCCAUGCCGCGUGUGUGAAGAAGGCCUUCGGGUUGUAAAGCACUUUCAGCGAGGAGGAAGGGUGGUGUGUUAAUAGCACAUCAUUUUGACGUUACUCGCAGAAGAAGCACCGGCUAACUCUGUGCCAGCCGCCGCGGUAACAC